CCUCAUGUGAUCAGCCACAGCCGGUAGUACAGCGCAGAAGAAAGGUGACAGCGUGAAGUUGUUCGUUGUUCUGUGUGCUUGAGAUGAACAAAUAAGUUGCAGCCACUUUGUUCGGCGGUCCCUGAACACGCAGAUUGAGACUUUCUCCGACACCGCACACAGACAGAUGUGUAUUUUCUAUUCUUCCUUUCACCUCGUCCUUGUUCACAAAUGUUAAUGCCGUGCGUAAAUGCACGGAGGUGAGCUUUAAUAAUGUAAGCUCUGUGCUGCUGUGCAUUUUUGCUUGGUGCAUAAAGCUACAUGUGCUCAUAUGUCCAUUUGGCUCAGUAAUACGCCUCAUAUUGAAUUAAUGUCCAUUAUGUGUCCAAAGCACAGCAAAAGAGCAUAAAGAUCACAGUUCACCACAUCUUACCACAACUUCCAUCCAUCAUUUUCUACGCCGCUUCUCCUCAUUAGGGUUGUAGGGGUAUGCUGGAGCCUAUCCCAGCUAACUUCGGGCGACAGGCGGGGUACACCCUGGACUGGUCGGCAGCCAAUCGCAGGGCACAUAUAGACAAACAACCAUUCACACUCACAUUCAUACCUAUGGACAAUUUAGAGUCACCAAUUAACCUAACAUGCAUGUUUUUGGAAUGUGGGAGGCAACCGGAGUACCCGGAUAAAACCCACACACGUACGGGGAGAACAUGCAAACUCCACACAGAAAUGCCCAACGGAGAUUCGACCCACGUCUUCCCAAUCUCUGGACUGUGAGGCCAACAUGCUAACCACUAGACGGACCACUGUGCCAGGAAAUAUCGUACCCCUCUAAAACUCUGUUUUAAAUUAGUAGCCAAUGUGCGUAGAUGAAAAAUAAGACACGUUUUUUUAAUAUAAUGUCCAUCCAUCCUUUUUGUAUGCCGCUUAUCCACAUUAGGGGGUAUGCUGGAGCUUAUCCCAGCUGACUUUGGGCGAGAGGCGGGGUACACCCUGGACUGGUCGCCAGCCAAUCGCAGGGCUAAUAUGUCAUAAAUUGAAUAAUAUAACAAAGAUGUUUCAUUGUGUGGCUUUUGUGUUUUGAGUGUGCAGGAGUAAGAAGAUGUUUCGCCUCUCAUGUAAGCAGGCUUCAUCAUGUCAUGAUCAAAGACUAGAUAGGCCAGUUGUAGUCUGAGAAGAUGGUGCAGGAUCCAAAGUAUUUAUCCUCCGUUUUCAGACUUUCGUGGUGCAAAAUGAGAUACAAUGUAGCGUGGCCUAUGUCGGCCAACGGCAGUCGUUUUGAGUGGAACCACCCACGUUAGCAUUCCAUUCAAGUUGUGACAAUGGUCACGGACGCACCUGAAACCAAAGGUGGUUGUGUCGUGUUGUGUUAAAGGCUGAUUUAGGCUAAACCUUUUUAGGACGGGAGAAAGGACAGCGUUUUAUGUGGGAUAUAGGUGGUGUCGCAGACCUCCCCCUCUGUUGAGAGAUCGGUUCUCAACCUUGACAUAGAUGGCCUCCCUCACUCCUCGUCCAAACCAUCUGUCCUGUUGAUCCAGAAUAUGUACAACUGCUAACAACUGCCAUUAGCUGGCACAGGCCCCACUCCAUUGUAUCUCAAUGACUGUCGUUUUGCACCACAAAACCAUUCUUGUUUGGGCCUGCCUCCACCUUAGAGGACACAUUCUGUGGAUCGAGCUCCUCUUUGAGCAUGAAGUGAUGAAGCCUGCUCGGAUGAGACAUCCUGAACAGUCCAGUUGCAAUGGAUUGAAUGCCCUGAGAACACAUGGAUGAAUGAGAAUAUUCACAGACAAUUACAAGUAUUCUUGUUAAAGGACUCACUGUAUUUCACUAUUUUCUGCAUCUUCUCCCACACUUGAUAUUUGAGCGUUCCAAGAUGCUUCGCCACAUCAAUCAGAGCACCAGAAAGCGUUUGUGGCUCGAAGGAACUGACCCAGGUUCUGCAAACGUACGCGGAUCACAUUGGAGAGCGACGCCAUCUCCUCGUUCAUCUCCUCGAUGCUCUGCUGGAUCAUCAGGUUCUUCUGAGCCUCCUCGGCCUUCAGGGCGGAGAGCCUGGCCGCCUCCUGCUCCUGCAGGAAGCGGUGGAGGGCCUCGAAUUCCGCCUUGAUCUGAGUCUCUGUGUGUUCUGCCUGGCACUGCAUAAAGAUUUGGUUCGUCACUGGUCGGAACCAACAGUUUUUGAUAUGAGCCCUUGAAAAUUUUGAUGAAAAAAAUCCAUCCAUCCAUCUUUGGUCGGGUCACGUGUGCAGCAGCCUAAGCAGGGAAGCCCAGACUUCCUUCUCCCUGGCUACUCCAUCCAGCUCCUCCCGGCAGAUCUUGAGACGUUCCCAGGCCAAUUGAGAGGCAUCGUCUCUCCAACGUGUCCUGGGAGGUGCCCUGCACACCUCCCCAAGGAGGCGUCCGGGAGGCAUCCUUACCACAUCACCUGGCUCUUCUCAGUGCUGUGGAGAAGUGGUUCUCCUCCGAGUUUCUCCCGGAUGCUUCUCACCUUAUCUCUAAGGGAGAGUCCAACCUACGGAGAACUCAUUUCGACCUCUUGUACCCGCGAUCUUGUCCUUUCGGUCACUACCCAAAGCUCGUGACCAUAGGUGAGGGUAGGAAGAUAGGUCGACCGGUAAAUUGAGAGCGUUGCCUUUCCGCUCAGCUCCCUCUUCACCACAACGGACCAAUGCAGAGUCCACAUAAAUGCAAUAUUUGUUUAAAAAAAAAAGAUGUUCUAAAAUGUACUAUAAGUUGCUGUCAUAAGUUCUGUCAUUUAAACACGCUUCCUUGCAGGAGUGCUCCAAAUGCUUCAGAUUGUGAGGGCGUUUCUUGUGAACGGACAGUACCUUGACAUGCUCGACCAUGUCUUCGCACACCAUUUUGGCUGUCUUGUACAGCUGCAGCUUCUCCUUCAAAGGCCGCAGGGCACCCUUCAGCUCCUCCUAUAGAACCAAUUGACAGGGCGUCGACAACACAACUUUUUACUUUUUAUGAAUAAGAGAGGGGGAAAAAAAUCCAAACCUACAUGGCCGUGGCAGAAAGUAAUUGAGAUCUAUCAGUCUGGAAAAGGUUAUAAAGCAAUUUUUAAAGCUCUAAAGCUUUGGGACUCCAGCCAACCACAGUGCGAGCCAUUAUCCACAAAUGGUGAAAACAGUGGUGAAUCUUCCCAGGAGUGGUCAGCCAAACAAAAUGACCCAAGAGCGCAGCUAUGACUCAUCCAAGAGGUCACCAAAGACCCCACAACAACAUCCAAAGAGCUGCAGGCCUCACUUGCCUCAGUUCAGGUCAGUGUUCAUGACUCCACCAUAAGAAAGACGCUUGGAAAAAACGGCCUGCAUGGCAGACUUCCAAGACAAGAACCACUGGUGAACAAAAAGAACAUUAAGGCUCGUCUCAAUUUUGUCAGAAAACAUCUUGAUGAUCCCUAAGACCUUUGGGAAAAUACUCUGUGGUCUGAGGAGACCAAGGUUGAACUUUUAGGAGGGUGUGUGUCCCAUUACAUCUGGCAUAAAAGUAACGCCAGAAAAAGAACGUCAUACCAACAGUAAAGUAUGGUGGUGGUAGUGUGAUGGUCUGGGCUGUUUUGCUGCUUCAGGACCUGGAAGAUUUGCUUAAAUGGAACCAUGAAUUCAGCUGUCUACCAAAAAAUCCUGAAGGAGAAUGUCCGGCCAUCUGUCCGUGACCUCAAGCUGAAACCAACUUGGGUUCUGGAGCAGGACAAUGAUCCAAAACACACCAGCAAGUCCACCUCUCAAUGGCUGAAGAAAAACUAAAUGAAGACUUUGGAGUGGCCUAGUCAAAGUCCUGACCUGAAUCCUAUUGAGAUGCUGUGGCAUGACCUUAAAAAUGUGCUUCAUGCUGGAAAACCCUCCAAUGUGGCUGAAUUACAACAAUUCUGCAAAGAUGAGUGGGCCAAAAUUCCUCCACAACGCUGUAAGAGACUCAUUGCAAGUUAUCGUACAAGCUUGAUUGCAGUUGUUGCUGCUAAGGGUGAACCAACCAGUUAUUAGGUUUAGGGGGCAAUCACUUUUUCACACAGGGCCAUGUAGGUUUGGAUUUUUUUUUCCUCCCUUAGUAAAUGUGACAAACAUGCAAAAACAUAAGAAAUCAGGAAGGGGCAAACACUUUUUCACACCACUGUACAGUAAAUCAGUACAGUAUCAUCACCUCAUGAUAUUAUCACACAUUUGAUUAGUAUCAUUUUCAUUUUGUAUUGUAUCAUUACCAACACACUUGCAUUGAAAUGAGAAGUCAAGGUGCCAAGCAGGAAUUUGAGUGAACUAUUGUAUAAUUCAUUUUAAAUGGGGUUUGAUGACCAAAAAUGCAGUACAAAUAUUCUGUCAAAACUGACAGAACAAAUAAAUUCGGCAAGAAAGAUUGUCUAUUUUAUUUGUUUUACUUAAUAUAAUAUCAAUAUAUUUUAAAAAAAUUAAUCAAUACAA